GCUAACUGGGCCAGGGACGGAAAGUCUUCACUCUUGGCACUUUCUCAGCCAAGUUUGGGGACCAAGUCAGAAAACCUAGCAAUCUGCAUAAUUUCUCAGAGUCAUGUCAUCCAUUGAAUACUUCCUUGUCUGCAGCUUUAAAGCUAGAACUGGGGCUCACUGGAGGAAAAUGGGAAUCAUUUCUACACAAAGAGGAUGGUAGAAAUUUGAAUUCUCUCCUGCAAAAGAUCAACUGAAGCAGACAUUACUGGUGGCAAAGAACCAAGGCAGCAGCAAAGGGAACAGGAACAGCAGCAACAAAGACCACAGCAGUCAGAAAUAGCUGACCAGCCUCCAGAGACACAAAAUCCAGACAACAGUGAUCAUCGACUUGAAACGGAAUAAACAGCUACAGUUAUCUGGAUUUGACUAAGGGUUAACGCAUGAGGUGCUCUGAGAUGUCCCAGCAGGUGGUUUCAUAAAUGUGCCACUUGUUGAAUAAAGGCUUUUGACUGCUAGGACUGGGAGGCAAUGUCAUGUUGAUUGCCUUGAAGGUCACCUUAGCCUCUAACCUUUUAUUUUCAGGUGGCUUAUUUUAGGGCAUCACUGUGGGAUAUUCCAGCCUGAAACUCACAAAUUUAUUCAGGAGGUCAGAGAUG